rnacentral:sRNA from 1 species
UCGCCCGUCGCUCUUAUUAUUAAGGUAAG